rnacentral:rRNA from 1 species
GACGACGCUGGCGGCGUGCUUAACACAUGCAAGUCGAACGAGAAUCUGUGGAAAGAGGAUUCGUCCAAUUGAAGCAGAGGACAGUGGCGGACGGGUGAGUAACGCGUGAGGAACCUGCCUUUCAGAGGGGGACAACAGUUGGAAACGACUGCUAAUACCGCAUAAGCGCACGGUAUCGCAUGAUACAGUGUGAAAAACUCCGGUGGUAUAAGAUGGACCCGCGUCCGAUUAGCUAGUUGGUGAGGUAAUGGCCCACCAAGGCGACGAUCGGUAGCCGGACUGAGAGGUUGAACGGCCACAUUGGGACUGAGACACGGCCCAGACUCCUACGGGAGGCAGCAGUGGGGAAUAUUGCACAAUGGGGGAAACCCUGAUGCAGCGACGCCGCGUGGAGGAAGAAGGUCUUCGGAUUGUAAACUCCUGUUGUUGAGGAAGAUAAUGACGGUACUCAACAAGGAAGUGACGGCUAACUACGUG